GGGUGGAAAUGGGGGACCCGCAAGCCCUCACGCAGCAGGAGCGGCCGAUGUCUGAUUAGCUAGUUGGUGGGGUAAAGGCCCACCAAGGCGACGAUCAGUAGCUGGUCUGAGAGGACGAUCAGCCACACUGGGACUGAGACACGGCCCAGACUCCUACGGGAGGCAGCAGUGGGGAAUUUUGGACAAUGGGGGCAACCCUGAUCCAGCAAUGCCGCGUGUGUGAAGAAGGCCUUCGGGUUGUAAAGCACUUUUGUCCGGAAAGAAAUCGCGCUGGUUAAUACCUGGCGUGGAUGACGGUACCGG
rnacentral:rRNA from 1 species